GUCAACACAUCGGAACCACGGAGAAAAGCGAGGAGGAGAAAGAUAACAACUGUUAACAUUUUGUACUUGUCUUUAACCGAUUCGUGACUACUGCUUCCAACCGUUACAUUUUAUUGCGCGUGACUUUCACUAUCAGCGAAUAUAAAAACAUGUCUACGAGGAUCAUGUACAAGGGAAAGCAUCUAAAGAAAGAAAGCAUUUGAGUUUUGGUCCCACCAUUCUUCCCAGGACAUUCAAAAAGGAAAAGAAGACAAGAAUAAUUCUGAUAUCGGCCAAGCAGGAAUAUGGAGCACAGUGUAACAAAUACAACAACAGCCACUAUUCCUCCGAUGAGAGCAUGGUCAGGGCCAUUCUGGCCAGCCAGAGAAUUGGGAUCUGCAAGAGAAUGAAGAACAGUGUUUUAGCUAGUCUGUUACUGUCUCCUGAAGUACAUAUCUGGAACUAGAUGAGCCAUUUUAAAACAGCAUGUUUCUAUUAAAAUGAAUUUGCAUUGAUACAUAUUAUGCCAAUCAUUCAAUCAACAAAUAUUGGUUGUGUGGCUACAGCACACAAAACACCUGGAGGUAUAAGAUUAAACAUGUUAAUGAUUUUUACCAUUGAUUUCACAUUUUAAGGAAAAGAUGGC
rnacentral:lncRNA from 1 species